GAGAAAUAUAGCUGGUUUUCUCAAUACUAAAUCAUGCAAAGCUGUCACUAAGUUUUAAAGGGUAAUUAUUGCAUCCUAAAUUUAAUCUACGGUUUACUGAUCGCCUAUAUAUAGUAUCUGUUGGAGGUGUAAAAAACAAAAUGUAGGAACGCACACUGCUGUACCUUCAACCUGGGUACCGCCAUCUCUGCUUCCUGUCAAUCAAAG